ACGAACGCUGGCGGCGUGCUUAACACAUGCAAGUCGAGCGGAAAGGCCCUUCGGGGUACUCGAGCGGCGAACGGGUGAGUAACACGUGAGUAACCUGCCCUAGACUUUGGGAUAACCCUCGGAAACGGGGGCUAAUACCGGAUACUCCUUCUAAAUCGCAUGAUCUGGUUGGGAAAGUUUUUCGGUCUGGGAUGGACUCGCGGCCUAUCAGCUUGUUGGUGGGGUAAUGGCCUACCAAGGCGAGGACGGGUAGCCGGCCUGAGAGGGCGACCGGCCACACUGGGACUGAGACACGGCCCAGACUCCUACGGGAGGCAGCAGUGGGGAAUAUUGCACAAUGGGCGGAAGCCUGAUGCAGCGACGCCGCGUGAGGGAUGACGGCCUUCGGGUUGUAAACCUCUUUCAGCAGGGACGAAGCGUAAGUGACGGUACCUGCAGAAGAAGCGCCGGCCAACUACGUG
rnacentral:rRNA from 1 species